AUGAAGCGCAUGAGUAGAAUGCCCACAAGGAAGGCCCAUUCAUGGUGGUGGGACAGUCAUAUUAGUCCCAAAAACAACAAAUGGCUAGCUGAUAAUCUAGAAGAGAUGGAUAAGCAAGUUAAAGAGAUGCUGAAGCUCAUUGAGGAUGAAGGAGAUUCUUUUGCAAAGAAGGCUGAGAUGUAUUACCAAAGGCGUCCUUUGCUUGUCACCCAUGUUGAAAAUUUCUACCGCAUGUAUCGUGCUCUUGCUGAGCGUUAUGACAAUGUGACUGGGGAACUACGAAAAAACAUGCCAUCAUCUCUCAAAUCACAGGGCUCAGGUAUAUCUGAAUCUGACUCCGAGGCACAGUCUACUCCCGCAUCUCCUGAGUCUGAAAAGAAGACCUCAAAAGAGAAGGGUAAAAAGGGAAGUGAUGGAUCGUCAUCAUCUUCUUCUUCUGAUUCUGAUUCCGAGGUUGAUGAAGCGAACCAAGAGAAUGGCAAUGGGAUUACUCAUGCACUGAAUGAACGAGUUAUUGAGCUAGAAGAUGAGCUCAAGGAAGCAAUGGAGAAACUUGAGGCACUCGAGGAAAAGAAUAUGCUGUGCCAAUGUGAAAACCUUGAAGAGAAGUUGCUAGCUUCGCAAUCAGAAAUCAACAGCCUUCAGAAGGAUCUUGAAGAAAAGGUCCGUUCAUUGGAGAGUAUCAAAGAAAUUAGCAGUGAAAAGGAGGAUUUGGAAGCUGCAGUUCAGGAAAACAAGAACAAGUUCGAGGAAUUAAAAGGGGAAAUGGCCUUAGCAGCCAAGCAUCAUGAGGCCCAACUUUCAUAUCGUGACCUUGAAAUUGAGAAAUGCAAGCGGGAGCUUGAGGAAGUAUCUGAGAGGCAUACCUAUGAUAAGUCUAUUCUUGAGACUGAAAUCGGAGAUCUCCAAGAAGUGGUCAAGAACUUGGAAGGGAACUUGGCAAAACUGUCGGAAGAGAAGUUGCAGCUUGAGGCACAGGUUAUGGAGCUUGAACAAACAUCUCACAGCCUAGAUGAUUCAUCUGCUGAAAUUAAGAAGCUACAAAAGGUAAUCAAGGAUCUGCAAGCAAGACUGGAAAAUGAUUCAAAUGAGAAGAGAGUGCUCGAGGAACGUGCUAUCGAGUUUGAGCAAGUUCAUAGGGAGUUAGAGGAUUCGAGGGCUGAAACAGUGGAGCUACAAACUAGAAUUGAGAAACUCAAAGCUGAUCUGGAAGGAGCACUUCAAGAGAAAUCGAUGUUGGAGGGCUCUGUCAAGGAUCUGGAACAUGCCAUUGCUAGUAAGUUGGAGAAAUUCUCUCUUGAGAAGUCCUCUCUCGAUGCUGAGAUCCUACAACUGUCAGAAGCUAAUGCUUCUCUUGAAGACAAGUUGUCAUCCACAGAGGCGCAGCUUAAGCAACUUCAUGCCGAAAAGGCAGAAGCAUCUGUUGAGAGUGAGAAACUGAUCUCUGGAUUGAAGCAAGAUAUUGCCAAUCUUAAGACAGAGCUCGAGUUACUGUCCUCACAGAAAGCUGCAGUUGAUAAUAAGGUGUCUGGUUUGCUGAGUGAUCUCGCAACUUGUGAUGAAAAGAUGAAGGAGAUGGAUAGCCACUUGCAUCAGCUACACCUGGAGCAUGUGCAAGUGAUAGCAGAGGCAGAUGCCGCACGGAAGUCCGUGGCAGAACUGCGUGCACGGGUGCGUGAGCUCGAGGAAGAGGUUGAGAGGCAGAAGCUCAUGGCGUUCGACAGCGCAGAGGGGAAGCGGGAGGCAAUCAGGCAGCUGUGCUUCUCGCUCGAGCACUACCGUGACGGGUAUCAGCAGCUCCGGCAAGUUCUGCAGGGCCACAAGAGGCCGAUGGUGAUGGCGACGUGA
rnacentral:rRNA from 1 species